rnacentral:rRNA from 1 species
AUGGAUACCGAAAUUAUUAUCAGACACAAAGAUGACCUGGAGCGCAUGCUGCUUGAUGGAAGCGCAGAGCCAACGUACCUGCCGUUAUCACUUUUAGAAGAUAUCACAAACUGUUUCUCCGAUGCUCAGCGAAUAGGCAGCGGAGGGUUCGCGGUGGUAUAUAAGGGAAUUGUGGGAAAAGGGAUAGUCGCUGUCAAGAAGCUGUCCCAACCAUAUGGUAUGCAUGAGGAUAAAUUCCUUAAAGAGGUUGGGUGCUUGGUGAAGGCCAAGCACAAAAACAUAGUACGUUUCCUGGGAUAUUGUUCUGACACACAAGGGAGACUUGCAAACUAUGAAGGGAAGGUUAUCAUGGCAGAUCUGCGGAAUUGGUUGCUAUGUUUUGAGUAUGUACCAAAUGGAAGCCUUGAUAAGUAUAUUACUGAUGCGUCUUGCAGACUUGAAUGGAGGAAGCGCUAUAAUAUUAUCAAGGGAAUAUGUGAGGGCCUACUUCAUCUUCAUGAGUUACGCAUUCUCCACUUGGAUCUGAAGCCUGCUAAUAUAUUGGUAGAUGAACACAUGGCACCCAAAAUUGCUGACUUUGGUCUAUCAAGGUGCCUUGAUAAAGAGCAAACCCGGGUUUUUACUUCAAACCUAUGUGGUUCGCAGGGAUAUUUGGCACCCGAAUUCUUUGGAGGGCAAGUCGCAUUUGCGUCGGACAUUUACAGUCUUGGAGUCAUCAUUGUGGAGAUGCUGACAGGCAAGAAGGGGUAUUCAGAAGAUGAGAAUGUGGUUGACACUUGGAUGAAUCGGUUGGAGGGAUUGGAUCAAUGGGAGACACAGCUGGAGCAAGUAAGAGUAUGCAUUAAGAUAGGGAUAGAGUGCAUGAACUCGGACCCAAAGAAGAGACCUGUUGCAAGUCAUAUAACUGACAUGCUUGGCAACAUAGCAAAUGCCGUCGAAACUGGUAUCGAUAGUUCAUCAAUUGAGCACCAGGUUUGUUUUCUAAAGGAACAAUAUUGUGAAGAGAAAAUUGCAGAUCUUUCAUCUGAGUCAAUAGGAAAGGAUAUCAAGGAAUGCUUUGAAAUGGAAGAACUUGCGGAACAUGUUAGAGAAGAUCAUUGGCAGGAAGAAGAAGAAGAAGCUCCAGUUGAUCAAUGGUCAUUGUCCUGGAAACUGCAAUCUAGCUCUAACUCUGGUAUGUUGCAUAAGUUGAAGAAUAUGGACAUCUUCGGCAGAAAAGCACGCAGAGACUUUUACCAGAGGAUAGGCGGGUCUGUACUAAAGAGAACUAAUCAAUUUAAAUUUUUCGAAAAGCGUGAGCUCAAGCCAGUUUUGAAGUAUGAGAAUCUUAGUUUGAAAGAUGGCUUUGGUGAAAUUUACAAGGGCCUUGUCGAUAAUGUACCAAUAACAGUAAGGAAGCUGAUUAGUAAAACUGUGGGAGAUAACGCUGCUUUGUUGAAUGAAAUCAUAAUCCAGUCUCAAGUCAUUCACAAAAACAUUGUUAGGCUCAGAGGCUGUUGCUUGGAAUCUGACACCCCCAUGUUAGUCUAUGACUUCCUGUCCACAGAUAGCCUGGAUGACAUUCUUCACAUCAAUAUCAUGGUGCCUCUCAAGCUUGGCGUGCGAUUAAGUAUUGCCGCAACAUCAGCAGGUGCUCUAGCUUAUGCGCAUUCAAAGGCAAGUACCAAACCUUUACAUGGUGAUCUUAAACCAGCAAAUAUACUCUUCAAUGGAAACUUUGUGCCAAAGAUCUUUGGCUUUGGCAUACUAAGGAUGACUGGGAUGGGGACCCACAACAUUGAUGACAUGUCUUACAUGGAUCCAGUAUACCUAGAAACAGGCCUGCUAACUGAAAAAAGUGAUGUCUACAGUUUUGGAGUCAUCAUCUUGGAGCUUCUUACAAGGAAAAAGGCGUCACAUUCCGACAAUAACAGCUUAGUAAGGAGUUUCCUCGAGAAUCACAAGCAAGGGAGGAAAACAACUGAGUUGUUUGAUAAGCAAAUUGCAGUGACAGGAGAUCUGGUGCUUCUAGACAAUCUAGCAGAAAUUGCUGUGGAAUGUCUUAACCUUGAAGCAGAACGAAGACCGGAAAUGAAAGAUGUUGCAGAGCGCCUUGAAAGACUGAAGAAGGUGAAGCAUUUGCAAGACGAAUUGGAACAACAUGUACGUCAUCUCAAAUAA